rnacentral:rRNA from 1 species
AGAGUUUGAUCCUGGCUCAGAGCGAACGCUGGCGGCGUGGAUCAGACAUGCUAGUCGAACGAGAAGCCGGGGGCAACUCCGGUUGUAAAGCGGCGAAAGGGCGAGUAAUACGUGACCAACCUACUUUCGAGACGGGGAUAACUACUGGAAACGGUGGCUAAUACCCGAUGAGCCCGUAAUGUGGCAUCGCGCUACGGGGAACCGGUUGGGAUCUUCGGACCUUCUGCUCGAGAAAGGGGUCACGUCCUAUUAGCUAGUUGGCGGGGUAACGGCCCACCAAGGCUUUGAUGGGUAGCCGGCCUGAGAGGGUGGUCGGCCGCACUGGGACUGAGAUACGGCCCAGACUCCUACGGGAGGCAGCAGUCGAGAAUCUUCCGCAAUAGACGAAAGUCUGACGGAGCGACGCCGCGUGGAGGAUGAAGGCCUUCGGGUUGUAAACUCCUGUCACCCGUUAUGAAUUGCAACGUGUGAAUAGCACGUGAGUGACAAAGGCGGAGAGAGCCCGUC